rnacentral:rRNA from 1 species
UACGGGGGGGGCAAGCGUUGUUCGGAAUUACUGGGCGUAAAGGGCUCGUAGGUGGCCAACUAAGUCAGACGUGAAAUCCCUCGGCUUAACCGGGGAACUGCAUCUGAUACUGGAUGGCUUGAGUUUGGGAGAGGGACGCGGAAUUCCAGGUGUAGGCGGUGAAAUGCGUAGAGAUGUGGAGGAACACCAGUGGCGAAGGCGGCUUUCUGGUCUGUAACGUGACGCUGAGGCGCGAAAGCGUGGGGAGCAAACAGG